rnacentral:rRNA from 1 species
GAGAAAAAACUUUUAAAAGUUUUGUCUCCAGAGCGAAGCGCUCCGUGACGGCGUGCUUUUUGUAGAACGAUCCAGCGAGUUAAUGUUGUCGGCAAGGCUAAGUCAUAUGAUGGAGCCACAGUGAAAGCGAGCCUGAAUAGGGCGUCAAGUUCAUAGUAUUAGACCCGAAACGGGGUGACCUAACCAUGAGCAGGUUGAAGCGUCGGUAACACGACGUGGAGGACCGAACCGGGACACGCAGUAAAGUGUUCGGAUGACUUGUGGUUAGUGGUGAAAUGCCAAUCGAACUCGGAGAUAGCUGGUUCUCCUCGAAAUAGCUUUAGGGCUAGCGUUGUUUAACUAUUUAUCGGGGGUAGAGCUCUGAAAGGGUUCGGGGCGCGCAAGCGUACCCACCCCUAUCAAACUACGAAUACCGUGUGUGUAACAACAGCAGUCAGAACGGCGGGGCUAAGCUCGCCGCUCAAAAGGGAAACAGCCCAGACCAUCGUCUAAGGUCCCUAAUUAACACUAAGUGGGAAACAAAGUAAACAGUUAGGAUGUUGGCUUAGAAGCAGCCAUUCAUUUAAAGAGUGCGUAACAGCUCACUAAUCAAGAGGUUUUGCGUGGAAAAUGUAACGGGGCUCAAGUGUUAUACCGAAGACAUGGAUGCGAGUAUGUGAUUCGUCAUGUAUUUGCGUGGUAGAGGAGCGUUGAUAUCGCGGCGAAGCAGGAUUGUAAAGUCCUGUGGAGCGUUAUCAAGUGAGAAUGCUGGAAUCAGUAACCUUUCGGUCGUAAGAGCAAGGUUUCCAGGGCCACUGUAAUAGUCCCUGGGUUAGUCGGUCCUAAGCCGAGGCGCAUCAGCGUAGGCGAUGGACAUCAGGUUAAUAUUCCUGAACUCGUACAAGUUGUCGACAUUUCACGGAGACUGACCGGAGCGGUUUUAUGGUAUAACCGUCCAAGGGUCUAGGGAACUAGACUCGAGUGAAAGUUGCCCCUCGGGGUGACGAUUCUGGGUGAAACUCUGGCUAGAAAAGAUGAUCGACUUAUGCAACCGUACCGCAAACCAACACCGGUGCUCGGGUCGAGUAGACCAAGACCUACGAGAGAACCUUCGCUAAGGAACUCGGCAAAAAAGCGUCCGUAACUUCGGAAUAAGGACUGCCCGCUCAUCAAAAUGAGCAUUGCCAUAGUUAUCUCAGCGGGGAACAAGGUAGUUUGUAUCUUUUAUAAUUAUCAAGUUUCUUUGUUGAGACAGAACACAUAACAAUGUUCUUUAACUAUGGAGCCCAAUAUAUCGUUAUGAUAUAUUCAGUGGCGACUCGGAAAAGAAAAAACAAGUUUUUCCUUUUCUCUCGUUCGCCCAGAAUAUCAUUUUAAUGAGCGGGCCGCAGCUAAAGAGCCCACGGAACUGUUUACCAAAAACACAGGUCUCUGCUAACGCGAAAGCGGAUGUAUAGGGGCUGACUCCUGCCCAGUGUCGGAAGGUUAAGGGGAGAACUUCACGGUUCGAACUGAAGCCCCAGUGAACGGCGGCGAUAACUAUGAUCGUCCUAAGGUUCUGGAUUUUACACUAGUAGAAUUCAGAAGGACUAGGACGAGCAUGACUUAGGAGUGAACCUAAGUAAGGAAAAUGUUGCCUAGUUUACGGAAGUAAACUGUUAAUCUAGCUAUAUGCUUGAAAACCCGAUGUAUAUUUUGAUACCAAAGCGUAACAAUUCAAAAUUGCGGAAAACAAGCAGGGAAGACUCGAUGAAUCGAGAACCCUCAACGACUACACGCCAGAAACCGAAAGGUUAAAAUAUAGUCUAACACCAUAUGGCGACAUAUGGAUCGCGCCUUUCUGAAAUCUAUGAUGUGAGAAAUCAUAAACGGUUUCAAGAAUCGGAAUCCACUUCCGUUUUUGAAAUAGUGAUAGAGGAAAGGAAGAAAACCUCGGUUUUCUUAAGCGAAGCGAUGAGCGAAAUUCCUUGUCUGGUAAGUUCAGACCCGCACGAAUGGAGUAAUCAUGUGGGCACUGUCUCGGCGAAGGCCUCGGUGAACGUGCAUUG